GUCUACGGCCAUACCACCCUGAACGCUCCUGAUCUCAUCUGAUCUCAGAAACUAAGCAGGGUUGGGCCUGGUUAGUACUUGGAUGGGAGACCAAUAAGAUAAGGGCCUAGGUU
ensembl:rRNA 5S_rRNA 5S ribosomal RNA